rnacentral:misc_RNA from 1 species
CUCACUCCCGUGCUCUUCAUUUCGUCCGAGCUUCUUACCUCCUUGCAAUCGAGCCACAAGCAGUUCCCACCAAACUCACCCAGCCAUCGCACACCGCCAUCCAUCUUGCUUUUCGCUCCACUACGCACGCAUCCGCGCCACCAUCUCUUCUGGUCACGGAGGCUGAGCUGCGGCUUUCGAGUUGAGAGGAAAACAAAGAAGAAAGAGAUCGCAAUCGAAUCGAAGGAUCAUCACCACUCCACACGAGAGCAUCAAGAAAUAAAAGCGAAUACCUCACACAAGAGGUCGCCGUCGCCACUCCCUCUUUCCUCACACGCGUGGCCCCACUCACUCGUUGUCCCUCUGCUCGCCCUCUCCGUUGCAGAUCAUUACAGGUCACUGCGAGGAGCAGCUAUUGUGUGCCUUGUGGAAGCGGCAGCUGCAGCAUCGCUCCCUCUCCCCAUCACCACCACCUACUCACGAGGCGGUAACUGACUUCAAACCCUGUCUUGCGUGCAACACGCACGGUCUACCCCUCCGACAUUUUACUCCCUUCCUCUGCUUCCUUUCGUUUUCUUUUUGCUGUCGUUGGCGUGUUCUCUUGAGGGGUGAUGGUGGUGGUCUGAGCUGCGAGAAACGCGCACACAAUUUUUCACUGUUGACUCUCUCUCGUUACGUGUGUGUGGUGUCUUGACGCGCAUUCAUCGCCGCCUCUUUGUUGUUGUUCGUGUUUGUUUGCCUCAAGCCUUCUGUAAUAUCUUCCUCCCCCCUCCCCACUAUCCAUCACGCCAUUCUCUGCUCUUUCAAGGUCUGGUCUCCUUGUCAUCUCCGUGAAUACGCCCUGUCCCUGUCUCCCCUUUACUCGCGUUUGUGUCUUUCGUGUCCUCACUUGUCUUCUUCGUUUUUCGCUGUUUGCUUGUCAUCACUCUGCGUGUCCUUCCCUUUCCUCCCUGCUCACACUUGUCUCCCCUCCCCCCUCGAUUGGUUUUCUCUCACAGACAGACAGCCACAGACGCCCGCUUUGGCCUUUCCCAUCACACACACGCACACACACUUCAACUCCACCUUCUGCAUCUCUCACGUUCUUAACAUUUCAAACGAAACCGCAAACACAAGCUUGACAAAAAAAAAUUUCAACAGACCACAAGGCACUGCUCUUUUUUUUUUUAGGUGUGCUCUGUCAACUGAUCGCCUGUGUGCUCCUUUUCUUUGGUGUUGUUUUCUUUUAGGGUCACGCACGCGCGCAAGCAAACAGAGAAGUUUUUCUUUUAGCGAUUCUGCAGACACCUGCGUGCGCUCAUCCACACGCGCACACGUCUAAGCAGAAGCACACCAACGCGUUCGCAGACACGCCAUCACCGUUUUCACGCUCCCCAGACUCCCCCCUUCACUCUCUCCCUCCUCCUUGAUUGCUUCCUUUUUUUUGCCCUAAGCCAGCACCUAGGUAGAACGAAUAUUUUGAAAAAAAAUAUAUACAAGACACACUCACGCAGACAGGCGCAGACUCGCAUCGCGCCUUUUUCACAAACAUUCCCUGGACUGUGUCAUUUUGUGUGCGCGUGCGUUUGUGUGUGUGUGUGUGUGUGUGUGUGUGUGUGUGUGUGUGUGUGUGUGUGUGUGUGUGUGUGUGCGUGCGUAUUUCUUUUUUUUUUCUCAUCAUUUUAGAUUGAUUUCCUCUGCUCGUGUUGUCUCUCGUUCACCGACUUGUCUUCGCACCCAUUCUCUUCUUGUUUGUUUGUUUGUUUGUUUUUUCGGAUUUGCCUCUCUCUAUCUCUUUUUGUCCGUCCCGGAGCCCAGAAUCUCCUCUUUUUUGUUACGGGUUUUGUUGUACCUGUUGUGCAUUCGCUUAGUGUAGUGUACAUCUUCAUAUGCAUCUUCAUAUACAUCUAUCGUUGCACUUCCCCCCCCCCACCUGCCCCCGCCCCGCCCUGCCUCUCCUCUCUCUCUCUGUUUUGGUCUUGCGUGUGGGCGUGCGUUUUUCGUUCUACAUAGACGAACAUCUGUUGUUCUCUCUUUUGCAUGUAAAUAUAUAUAUAUAUGUAUAUGUAUAUGCAUAUGCAUAGGCAUAUGUGUGUGUCGGUGUGCUCUUUGGAUUGCUCUUUCUUGUGUGGCUGCCCUCCUUUGAAUUGUUGCAUCGUGUCUCCUUUCUUGCGCUGAGUGUGCUGCGUGUGUGGUUUCCUUUUGUGUCCUUCUCUGUCUCCCUCUCCGCUCAUCAAAGCCCCUACUUCUCUCGCUGUGUCGGCGUCGCUGCGCUCCUUUAACAGAACGCGUAAGCGCACUGGGGCUUGUGUGUGAGAGAGCUCUUUAUCACUCCCAACAGGGCCUGAUCUGUGAGGGGUGCCCCUCCUCCUUAUCGCCUCUUCUCCCCUUCUACUCCUUUGCCGUCGUUGCUUGCUUGCACAUUAAGGAGUGCUGCAAGUCUGUGCGUGAGAGAGUUACAGGCUCCGUGGAUGUGCUUGCGACGCCGGCGAGGGCUUUUGGCGGUUAUCUGCUCUUUGAAGGGGGUCGCCAACGGCAGCUUCCAUUGAGUCUCUUCCUUUUCUUUCGCGUUCGCCUUUCUUCUUUUUCUUUGCGUGUGUGCCUUUGUGGUUGCUCUUAAUUUCCGUUAGUCGACCCGUGUUGAUUCCUCGUUUCGUUACAUGUAUAUAGAUAUAUAUGUAUGGAUAUGUGUGAUUUCUACACGCCUUUUUUUCCAGGUAUCUCUCAAUCGCAUUCUUCUCCUUUCUUCCUCCCCUUCCCCUCCCUGCUGCUUUCGCCUUCUCUGUUGUGUUGUUCUCGUCGUUUCUACGUGUCUCUGUCGUGUUGUUCGUGAUUGUAUAUGGUGCGUGUCUCGUCCACCUCUCUCUUCCAGCACGUUUAGCUCUUUCGCGUGUGUGCGCUGACGCUGCAAAACGGUCAGCAACGUACAUCACAGCACAGAGAAAAAAAAGGAAGCGUGAUCCCCACUCGUGCGGUUUUCCUUUCUCGCUCCGUUUUCUCUACACCCUUUACGCACCCCACCAACACUGCCUCUCCAAGCCUUUGCCUUUUCGAGCCAGUUCGCCGGGCAAAACCUCCCUGCUCAGAACUUUGCCAUUUUCGUUGGCAAACCUAAAAAAAAAAAGAGAAGCAAAAGCGGAGAGAGAGUUGCACCAGACCUGCUCGUCUUUCCCUCCCUUCACACUGGCAAGCGCGCACUCACGCACGUACACUCGCGCUUCGUUUCUUUUUUCUUUUCGUCGAUUUCUAUCUCGGUUACCGUCGGACAACGUGCAAGCCUCCGCACGUGUGAGCGUCUCCUGUGCUCAUCUAUGUGUGGGUCACCACCCUCUCUCCCCGCGCUCCCAAUUUCUUUGCUGUUCUCUCUCUCCUGUCUACGGUAUAGGCACGUGUGCGUAUGUUAAUUCGCUCGUGAUUUUAUCGCCAAACGCUUUCUGUGAACGCUCUUCCCGGUCUGCCUGCCUGCCCGCCUGUCUCUCUCUGUCUCUGUCUGUCCGUGUCUGCACGCCGUGCAUUCCUGUGAGAAACGAAAAACAAACACCCGAAAUCCGCAACGGGCAGUUGUCAACGUCUUCUUUCUCAUUUUUUCGCUUGCUUGCUGUUUUUGUUUUGUUUUGUUGGCUUUUGUUGUGGCUCAGCGUGUGUCCUCCUCAGCCCUCUCCCUCCGCUUUCAAGCGCGUAGGGCGACCUUUGAACCUCCCUUGUGGCCCACGUGCUCGCUGCGGAAUCCCUCCCUCUCUCCGCUCGUGCACAUUUGCAGUGGUUUCUGGGGGUGUGGAGGUGCUGUUGCACUUGUGUCUCCUUCUUUCCCUGCCACAUCGUCUCUGCGUGUGUGUGUGUGUGUGUGUGUGCACGUGUGCGGCAGUGCUUGCAGCAUUGUGGCGCCUUGGCAUCUAUUUCUUCGUCGUGUGGUGCUCGCACUCGUGCGCGUGACGUUCUGCUUGGCUCUCUUGCGUUCCUUGUAUUCUCUGCAUAUCGGUGUGUCUGUGUGUGUGUGUGUGUGUCUCUUCCUUCGCCUCCUCUCCUCCUCAGUCCCUUUGCUGUUCUUAUCGGGGGAGGUGUAGGAUAUCUCUCUCGUCUCUCCUCGGCCUCACCUUUUCGUUGUUCUUUCUGCUUCUCGCGGCCUUCCGCCCUCUUCUCUUGCCCUCGUCGUCGUCAUCUUUCCCUCUGUUUUCGCCCCGCCACCCGCCCACCCUCACCUCUCCUUUUUCUUUUUAGCAGUAGACUCCAACAUUGCUCGCCUUGAGCUCCGUGGUUCAUCUUCUUUGCUUCUUGGUGUUGUGCGUCUCUCUGUGAGUGUGCCACCUGGCGUGAGCGCUGUUGUGUACCUAAUAGUUUUUUUCUCUUUUUCGUCGUCGUCGUCGUCGUCGUCGUUGGGGGUGGGUGCUUCCCCUUGAUUUGCCCUUCUCUUCGUCUGUCUCUCCUCCCCACCCCCACCCUCCACACACCGCCUUACCCGCACCCUCUCUCAUCUCGUGUGCGUGUGCGCCUCAUCCUCCAGCUUCCCUACCGAGCGUAACUUGCGUCGCCUACCCAUCGCAUCUGUAGUUGUUCUUCAACGCCUCCAGGCCCUCCACUCCCGUUGCCCCUCCCCCUCCUCAUCCGCCGCCUUUUUCGGUUUUGUCUGCCUGCUUGAUAUCUGCGGAGCACACCUACGUGUUGUUGCACAACUCUUCUGCGUGCGUUUCGCUUUUUCUCGUGACGGUGGGCGUUUCAUACUUUUUUUUCUUUCGUCGGUCAUUUUUUCUUUUGAUUUGACUGCAGUGCAAUAUUGCCUCUGGCGUGUGUGGGUUUGCUGUGUCGCUGUCCCUCUUCUUCUUCCGCUGUUACCCCUCACCCAACCACGCCGCCAGCCCCCUGCAGAGCCCUCCACACCUCCCGUCCGUCCCAACCUAGCCCUCGCUCUGUCGAAUCCUCUACGGGCAUCGAAAAGAGCAGCAUGCACCCCGCACAGAGCUCUUCGUCCCCGGCAGCGAAGGUGCCUGCCGCCCGCACAAACUCGACGCCCACGUUUUGGCCGUCGACGAACUCUACGACUGGUCCGCGUCUCUUCACGCAUUCGCCGUACCUCACGACGGGUAACAUUAUUGUCAGCGAGGAUCUCGACGCCGUAGAAUUUGUAGCGUUGGGCGGUGUGGAUGGACAGCGCAGCAACCAAGGGUCACCCAUCACCAGCGGGCCCCACCAAGGCGGCUCGAGUUUCAAUGCCAGCAGCAACAGUGCAAACCAGCUGCAUAGCCCGCAUGGCUACUCCAACGGCAAGAAGAACGUCUGUCGGCACUUUAUAAACGGCAACUGCAAUCGCGGCAGCUCUUGCCGUUUCUAUCACCCGGGGCCGAUUCACCGCGUCAUCACGCCAACGCGCCCGCGCACCCCGACUCAGCGACCGCUGACUCCGCUGGCGGACCUGGCUCAGCAUAACAGCGCCUCUGCGGCCCAGUCCCCAGCGCACAGCCCCCACAUCAGGCCGACAAGUGUGCUACUGUUCUCGUCUCCGCGGCAGUCGCUGAAGCUGAACAGCGGAGGUGGAAGUGCGCGCAGCAACCCUGAGUCCUUCGCCUCUCCGCUCAGUUCUCCCUCCACCUCUGUCUCUGCUCAGCGCAGCGCCGCAUUUGCCGAGAGCCCGGCGCACGUCGUGGCGACAGCACCGGCUCUCUCUAGCCCUUCCUUUGGUCCGCAGUUUAGCCUUGGAAGCUCACUCGGUGCUCGGGCGCGCUGUUGGCCCGGUGCCAACCCGUUGCCCUCCCUGCAGCUACCGGAAUACCUGCCAAACGGUAUCGACGACGGCACAGCGGAAGCCUGCAUCUCCGCCACUGGCGCGGGCAUGGGGCCACUUAGUAGGCCGCACAGUCCGUCCUCUCCAGGUCCGUACAGGCUGCCAGUGUACUGCGCAGGGGUGCAGCUGGGAGCAAGCAGCAACAGCGGCCGCGGAGAGAGAAGAGCAGCGCUUGCCAGCCCGCACCACCACAGGGUUCCCGGCAGCAGGUUUCCAGCUGCGUCAAGCAAAACAGUCACGUCCCCCAGGCGUGGUGGCGUGACGCGCAACAACCCCUACGCCUACUCGCCGACACGGGUGCGGCCGCAGCUCAGUCAACCCAUGAGCCCGCUAAAGCGCACGGCGAAUGAGCCAGAGUGAAGGAACAGCAGCUGAACGAAAGGCCGGUGCUGUUAUCGGGACGCCUUUCUCCUCUUGUUUUCGAAACCUCCCGCGAUGCCUGCCUCGCUCCCUCAGCCCCCCGAAGCGGCUCUUCUGCCUGAACACUUUGCCCUGUUCUACUCUGGUUUUCACCAGCCAGCGCAGCUCACGUCCAUUGUGCUCUCCUGUGAACACCUCUGCAUCGGCCCUCCUCCAAGCGGCCUUCUUCUUUUUUUUUUCGGGGGAGGGGGAUUUUGCGUGUCACUGCGUGUGUGUGCGAGUUACGUACGUAUUGGCCUUCUUGCUGGUUGCUCCCCCCUCUAGGGGGGUGGGGGACGGCGAAGUGGCACCUGCAGGUAUUCCUGUGUGUUUUUACGUGUAUUCUUGCGCAUGUGUGUGUAUGUGUGUGCAUUUCCUUUCUCCAGGCCCUUUUUUUUUCAUCAGCUGUACUUAUGAACCGCUCAACUCUCUCCCUCUCCAUCCGGCCUUCUCCUUCUCGUUCCUCCACCUCUUUUUGCUCUCUCUCUCCCCCACACACACGCACACUCUCCAUAUGUGUUCUCCGCAUGUUUUCUCCUCUGACCCGCGACCUCCUGCUGUUUCGUAUGCCUUCGUUCAGUUUCCUUGCUUCUCAGCUCCCUCUUCUCCCUCAUAUGCGCCUGAGCCCCCAUGCGUCUGCACGGGCUCCUUUUUCGUUCCUUGUCGCUUUUUCCUCAAAUAUGACGGCACGAACCUGCCGCGUGCUUUCUUUGGUUUUUUUUUGAUCCCUCUUCUCCCUUGGUUAUGCCGGCCACCUCAGUGUGGUAUCAGGGUCUAGCGCUCCCGUUGUGGAGAAGCCAAGCAGCUUGGACAGCCUGCCCUCGGGCACGGCUUCGGACUCGUGGUGUUGGAGAAGAGAGCUGUGCCGAAGAGGCUUGCGGUCACGAUAACGCUUGGACCAGCUGACGGCGAAUCUUGCCGACGAUUCGACAGUUGCACGCAUCCGCCGCCUGUUUUUAUGCGUUAGGUGCGCCGCGGCGGUGAUGCGGGACUCAAACCGGAACCCAGCCGGCGCUGUCUGCCGUGGAAUCGCAGCGGGCCUGAACGACGCCCAGCAGUCUUGGUUGGCCCCGUUCCUUGAUGUAACCGUAGCGCAGACGAGGUAGGCGCAUAGCCGCGGGCUUGUGCGCGUCUGUUUCUCGAUUUGUUCACGGUAGAAUAAGGUCAUAGCAAAGAGAAACAUGUUAAAGUCCUUUUUCCAUUCUGCCGAUUCAGUCUCUUCCCUCCCCCGUCCCCCGUCCCCUACACUCAUCCUGUGAGUGGAGCACCACGCGCACAGACACACAGCAGAAACAGAGACUGAUCUCUAUAGGUGUGUCGCUUCGAUUGUGGUGAACUCGUGAGCGAGCACCAGAGCACACCCCAUCCCGCGCUGCCUCGCUCGCUCGCUCUCUCCCCUUCUGUCCGAAAACGCUGUGCUGUGCCUUCACCCCUUACCCCGGAAGCCGGCAUGCUUUUUUUGUUGUUGUUGUUGUUCUUGCCGUGCCUGCUUGCCGAGGGCCAUGUGGCCAGGAAGAAGACGAGACACGUCUGAACGCCCCGUCUUCCCCAUUUUCCGUUUUGCGGUUGUUGUGCACUUUGCUUGAUCGGCGCUUUUCGGUGGCCCCCUUACAUCUUUCCGGCAGCGCCCCCUCCCCCCCCUCACUCCUGCCUCCCUGCCUCCCUCUCCCCUCCCCGUACCGGUUGGUUACUUUCUGGGUUUCUUUUUCUCUGUCGUUGUUCUUCAUGGAGGAUGUAAUGCGUCGGGUUAUCCUUCUGCAUGCUUUCAGGCACGCGUGCGUUUGUGUGUGUGUGGGGGGGGGGGGGGGGGCAGCCGUGCUAUGCUUCGCUGUCUGCCUUCCUCUUUUGUUUUCCACUGCAGCGCGUGUGUAUGUGCGUGCGUAUGUGUAUACGCGCGUCUGGAAAGCGCGAAUCGCUCGAGUUAUCGGCCGUUGUGCGUGGGCUUUGGAGCCGAGGAACUCUCGCUGCCUCUCUGUAUUUGUGUAGAAGAGGUUUGGUGCGAAGUGGCGGAACUCUUUUCCUGUCUUGCAUUCUUUCUCCUUUCGUGUGCCGCCGGGCAGGCGCACGAGCACGCGAGCGGAGUAUCGAGACGAGACGAAACGGACAACAGAGGCAGGAAAGGAAUGAGAGCCGACAGAAGAAGGCGUGUCUUUUUUUUUUGCCUUUGCCGUUCCUGUUCUACAACUCUCGCCCGCCACCCCGUCCCCUCCCGUCGUCGUCAACGGUGGUGUGUUCCCCUGACUUCCUUUGUGUGUUUUGUUGCUUGUGCGCCCCUUCGUCUAUAUAGCACACAGAGUCGGUUACGGCUAUGCUUACUGUCUUUCUGCAUUUUCCUUGUUAUGUUGCUUCUAGGUGGUGAUGGGCGUGGUCAUGGACUCUUCUCACCGCGGUGCGCCAUAGGCUGAUUGCUGUUUCUCUUGUUUCUGCCUUUAUGUGUGUGCGUGUGUGUGUGUGUGUGUGUCGUCGUCGUCGUCGUUGGUCGUUGUGCGCUUGUUUGCGCCUGGGCGUCCAAAUGUGCCCGUCUUUUUUUCUUUUCUCUCCGCACGCCGCACGUGGUGAUGCGUGUUCUCCCCUCUCCUCUUGCUUCUUUUUUUCGUUUCGCUCUCUAUCGGAACUUCAUGCGCGUCAGCGGGACGGUGCACACGCGUGAAGGCAGUGCAUCGUCAUCGUCCUGCGAAAGAAUGGAUGCUCAGAGGGGAGUGGUAUAUAGUUGCGCAUGUGUAUCUGUGUCUUUCGGACACAGGAUCACAAGCUAAUCAGUUAUGGAAGCAACGCACUCCCAUCUCGGUCAAG